AGCUUUGAGAAGCUAAUAAGCAUUGGUCUUGUAAACCAAAGACAAGAAUAAUCCUCUCCAGAGCUAC
rnacentral:tRNA from 1 species